rnacentral:rRNA from 1 species
UUAGGGAAAUUUUCCAAUGCGCGAAAGCGUGAGAAAGCGAGCCAGAGUGUUAUUCAUAAAAUUUUGAAUGACUUUUGUUCGUUGCAAAAAGACGGACGAAUAAGGAGUGGGCAAGAUCGGUGCCAGCCGCCGCGGUAAUCCCGACGCUCCGAGUCGCAGCCACAAUUAUUGGGUCUAAAACAUUCGUAGCUUGUCUGUUAAGUUCCUUGUGAAAUUUUAGCUCUUAAGGUUAAAGCGUGCAAGGAAUACUGGCAGACUUGAGACCGGAGGAAGUAAGAAGUAUGCUCGAGGUAGCGGUAAAAUGUAUUAAUCUUGGGCAGACUAACAACAGCGAAGGCAUCUUACUAAUACGGAUCUGACAGUGAGGAAUGAAGGCUAGGGUCGCGAAACGG